rnacentral:misc_RNA from 1 species
AAAUAAUAUAAUUCAUAAAUGUAUAUAACAUUAUGUAGUAAAAUGAUUCCUUUGGCUUUUCACAGAAGGAUGGGAAUCUGGAUGAUGAAACAGAUGAUAAGUAUGGAUUCAAGAAACCUAAGCCCAUGAUGAAGAAAAUACCCAGCAAGAAGAAAAUUGUGAUUAAGAAGAGAGAUUCUGAGUCAGAGAGUUGCUCUGUUAACAGACAGAAUUCAUCAGGAUCGGUGAUGGAGGUCAGCUCAGCUGUGACAAAUUCCCAUCUACAGUCUGCGGAGAAUUACAUCCUAGAGGUAAAGAGCUGUUUGAAUAAGGAGUCGUAUGUGACUUUCUCCAAAGCCCUGGGUAUGUACAAGAAGACUGGACAGUUGUCCCAGGCAGUGGGGGUAAUGGCCGGACUGUUCACAGAAAACCCCCGGGACUACCAUCUCUUUAGAAGUAUGUCUCUCUUUGACUUUUCAUUCAUUUUAAAAUACACACUAGUUAGAUCCAAAUCAAAGACAUAUGUAUUUCCUUUAUAUUGCCUCAUGCACAUGUACUGUGGAAUCAUUAAAAUUCGUGGGGACCAACUUUCGUGGAUUGCUGAAAUUUUACUGGUUGGUGGAGACGUAUCUUUGUGUAUUCUAUUACAGGAGAUAUGGCUUUAUAACCAUAAUUUAUUAAUUCGUGGAGGAUGUCAAUUUGUGGAUGAGAGAUACCCACAAAUUCCUCAAGCCCCCUUGAAAUGUAAUGAUUCCACAGAGUUUAUCAAUUUACUUAUCUAUUUACCAAUUUAUUUUUUCACAAAAGCACAUUAUUGGAAACAUUGACCAUACCCCAAGUCAUUGAGCUUCUUUGUUCUCAUGAAUAAUUUAUGCUCUUAAUUUUCAUCAUUUGUUCCAUGCAGUAAAUUUCUUCAGUUUGUUCCAUGAAGUAAAUUUUAUUCAAUGAUGUGAUUGUCAACAUCACCUUGAACAGAAGCCUUUAAUUAUAACAUGAACUUCAAUUUUAUGUUUUGGAAACUCAAGCGUUUUACUUUUACAAAAGGUGGGAUGAAUAUAAUAGAUACAUGUAUCAUCUUUGAAGACUAAAAAGGGUAUGCAAAACUGGCUGUACAGUAUUGUAUGAUAUACUGUAUAAAUCUGUUUUGACACAAUUUAGUUAAUUAUGGUAAAUUCCAUUGUUUCUUGCCUUUGUAGAGUUUUAUCGAUUUGUGCGACACAAGGAUAAGAAGGAGUUUGACUCAGUGUGUAAGGAGCUGACAGGAGAGGGGUGUGGCUACAAACCGGAGGACUCCGUACCCAAGAAACGGGUCCAAUCCGAGGCCUCUAAUGUCUCCGAGCAGCCAGAGAAAAAGCAGAAAACAGACGUCACUGGAUGUGUCUUACAGCCAAAAACAUCCACAUGUAACAUUUCCCAAUCAGUCAGUAACAGCAAAUUCUCAUCCAGUGAUUUAUCUUCUCUUAAACUGAACUCUGUGAACUGUGAUAGUGCUCAAGCAGAGAGAUGUGGGGAGAUCACCAAAAAGGAUGGACAGAACUGUUUAGUGGAAAAGAUGAGUGAGCGUCUACAGAAUGUCAGCGGACCACUGGAUAUACGCAGUUCCUCCUCAGAGAGAUCAUCAGGUUACACUUGCUGUAAAUGUGAGAGUGAAGCCAAGGUGCCAUUCCAGUCUGCCUGUGAUCAUGUAUGCUGCUUCAAAUGUUGGAAAGAAGUCUUCAAUAAUCUGGAUAAGAAGUGUCCUGGCUGUGGGGUGCGUGUCAGAAGAAGAGAUCUGAAGCGAUUGUUAUUCCCAGGACCAGGAAGUGAGGACCCAGGCUGAAGGAAGAGAAAUCUUAUAACAUUCAUACAUCAAUAUGUGAAGGCAGCAUGUUCCUUACACAACAUUCAAUAUAUGUACUGGCCAGGUAUUAAUAAAGAAGCAGGCUUCAG